GAUUCUGAAGGUGUGCUCAGGUUAGAUUACUUCUCCCUUGAAAAUAAUAACAGAUAUGCCAAAACUGCUGUUGAUGCUAGUGAAGAGGGUUCUGUGGAGUCUGAUAAUCCGAGUUGGAUUGAUCCUGCGCCAGAGACUCGGUAUCAGAGGAGGAACUCUGGCGAGCUCUGGUCUGAUUCGGGCAGUGAUCGGUCUGAUGAGCGGAAAUUUAGUGAUUUUGAUGUGAAAAACGAAUUGUAUACUGUGGAAAACGUGAAAACCGAGGUUGGUUUUGAGGGGAUUGGAGAAAUUGAAGGUAAAGAUGGUAAGGAAGGGCAAUUUGAGUCUCCUGAAGGUAAUUUUAGUAAUUUGGAGGGUAAAAAUGAAAUAAGCUUUGAGGAGAACGUGAAAAACCAGGCCCUUUUCGAAGAGGAUAAUGAUUUGAGCAAGUUCUGGGCUGAUUCAAGUGGUGAUAGUCUGGUUUUUGGUGAUGUUGGGAAGGUGAAUGAGGGUUCUGAGUUUUUGGGUGAGUCCAACAUUGAAAAUUCGCCCAAAGAGGACAAUUUGAGCGUUGUUGCAGUCGGAGAAAGAAAACCAGCAGGUAGUGAGGCGAAGAGGAAGACGGUGUGGUGGAAGGUCCCUUUUGAAUUGUUGAAAUAUUGUCUUUUCAGGGUCGGUCCUGUUUGGUCUUUCUCUAUGGCUGCAGCUGUAAUGGGAUUUAUUAUCUUGGGACGGAGAUUGUACAAGACGAAGAGCAAGAUAAGGAGCUUGCCACUUAAGGUUACUGUGGAUGACAAGAAGGUUUCUCAGUUCAUGAGUCGCGCUGGACGUCUUAAUGAAGCAUUUUCAGUGGUGAGACGAGUGCCCAUUGUACGGCCAUUGCUGCCUGCAACUGGGCCGAAUUCAUGGCCUGUGAUGACUUUGAGAUGAAAAUAUUAUUGUGGAAUGGGGAAGCAUUAUGUGAACGUGUUUGGCAUUUAAUGUCCGUCUUGCUUUGCUCUGUAAGUAACACACCUAGAGUGUUUUAGAUUUUCUUUUGUGUAUGAACUUUGUUUAAUUGUGUAUAAAU
rnacentral:misc_RNA from 1 species